rnacentral:rRNA from 1 species
UGGUGGAGCGAUUUGUCUGGUUAAUUCCGAUAACGAACGAGACUCUGGCCUAUUAAAUAGACAUUGGAUCAUUUAUGGUCCUUUGCAGCUUCUUAGAGGGACGGGCGGCUUAUAGCCGCACGAGAAUGAGCAAUAACA